CGAAAACGAAACGGUCGACGCGAAAAUAGAAUAACAAGAGAAAAAAAUGCUUCUAGAAAGACCCAGGAAACGAUGGACUGAUGAGAUGAAGAAGAUUUUAUAUGUUUGGUGGUUAAAAACUAGUGAAUGGUAGUUCAAGAUGAAUAGAUAAGUGCCAACGUUUAGUUAUAGCAGAAGGAGUUGAAUACGAGAAUCGAAGAAGGAAAAGUCAAAAACCGACUCUCAUGACAAAAAUAAAAUAAAAAUUCUUACUCUUUAAAAUCUUUAUUUAUCCAUGAUUUAGCCCUCGCAUAAAAAAAAUUACUUUAUUCAAUUUUUGUUCACACACAUACUUAUAUACAGGUAUAUAUCAUCGUUAUGCAAAUAAUAAAAUCUCCGUCUCUGUCCUAUAUAACAAUAAUUCUGUACUUUCUCACGACUAUAAUAUAUGGGCAAGUAUACAUACC